rnacentral:rRNA from 1 species
CGCGUGUGUAGAAGAAGGCUUUCGGGUUGUAAAGCACUUUCAGCGAGGAAGAAAGCCUCUGGGUUAAUACCCCAGAGGAAGGACAUCACUCGCAGAAGAAGCACCGGCUAACUCCGUGCCAGCAGCCGCGGUAAUACGGAGGGUGCGAGCGUUAAUCGGAAUUACUGGGCGUAAAGCGCGCGUAGGUGGCUUGGCACGCCGGUUGUGAAAGCCCCGGGCUCAACCUGGGAACUGCAUCCGGAACGGCCAGGCUAGAGUGCAGGAGAGGAAGGUAGAAUUCCCGGUGUAGCGGUGAAAUGCGUAGAGAUCGGGAGGAAUACCAGUGGCGAAGGCGGCCUUCUGGCCUGACACUGACACUGAGGUGCGAAAGCGUGGGUAGCAAACAGGAUUAGAUACCCUGGUAGUCCACGCCGUAAACGAUGUCGACUAGCCGUUGGGACCUUUAAGGACUUAGUGGCGCAGUUAACGCGAUAAGUCGACCGCCUGGGGAGUACGGCCGCAAGGUUAAAACUCAAAUGAAUUGACGGGGGCCCGCACAAGCGGUGGAGCAUGUGGUUUAAUUCGAUGCAACGCGAAGAACCUUACCUACCCUUGACAUCCAGAGAAGUUGGCAGAGAUGCCUUCGUGCCUUCGGGAGCUCUGAGACAGGUGCUGCAUGGCUGUCGUCAGCUCGUGUUGUGAAAUGUUGGGUUAAGUCCCGUAACGAGCGCAACCC